rnacentral:rRNA from 1 species
UACGUAGGGUGCAAGCGUUAAUCGGAAUUACUGGGCGUAAAGCGUGCGCAGGCGGUUGUGCAAGACCGAUGUGAAAUCCCCGGGCUUAACCUGGGAAUGGCAUUGGUGACUGCACGGCUAGAGUGUGUCAGAGGGGGGUAGAAUUCCACGUGUAGCAGUGAAAUGCGUAGAGAUGUGGAGGAAUACCGAUGGCGAAGGCAGCCCCCUGGGCCAAUACUGACGCUCAGGUGCGAAAGCCAGGGGAGCGAACGGG